rnacentral:rRNA from 1 species
UACGGAGGGGGCUAGCGUUGUCCGGAAUUACUGGGCGUAAAGAGCUCGUAGGUGGUUUGUCGCGUUGUUCGUGAAAUCUCACGGCUUAACUGUGAGCGUGCGGGCGAUACGGGCAGACUAGAGUACUGCAGGGGAGACUGGAAUUCCUGGUGUAGCGGUGGAAUGCGCAGAUAUCAGGAGGAACACCGGUGGCGAAGGCGGGUCUCUGGGCAGUAACUGACGCUGAGGAGCGAAAGCGUGGGGAGCGAACAGG